UAAUACGUAGGGUGCGAGCGUUAAUCGGAAUUACUGGGCGUAAAGCGUGCGCAGGCGGUUCGUUAAGUCUGAUGUGAAAGCCCCGGGCUCAACCUGGGAAUGGCAUUGGAUACUGGCGGGCUGGAGUGUGGCAGAGGGGGGUGGAAUUCCGCGUGUAGCAGUGAAAUGCGUAGAGAUGCGGAGGAACACCGAUGGCGAAGGCAGCCCCCUGGGCUGACACUGACGCUCAGGCACGAAAGCGUGGGGAGCAAACAGGAUUAGAUACCCUGGUAGUCCACGCCCUAAACGAUGAUCACUGGGUGUUCGGGGAGCGAUCUCUGGGUACCGUAGCUAACGCGUGAAGUGAUCCGCCUGGGGAGUACGGUCGCAAGAUUAAAACUCAAAUGAAUUGACGG
rnacentral:rRNA from 1 species